GACGAACGCUGGCGGCGUGCUUAACACAUGCAAGUCGAACGGAAAGGCCCUGCUUUUCUGGGGUGCUCGAGUUGCGAGAGGGUGAAUCGGACGUGAAUCACGUGCCCUUGCCUUUCGGAUAUCUUCAGGAAACUGGGGCAACUACGGGAAAGGAGCUCCUGCUGCAUGGUGGGGGUUGGAAGGUUUCGGCGGUUGGGGAUGGACUCGCGGCUUAUCCGCUUGCUGGUGGGGUAGUGGGUUGAUAAGGCUUUGACGGGUAGCCGGCCGGAGAGGGUGGCCGGCGACAUGGGGCCUGCGAUACGGCCCAGCCUCCUACGGGAGGCAGCAGUGGUGAACAGUGCCCUAUGGGCGGAAGCCUGAUGCAGCAACGCCGCGUUCGGGAUUAUGGCCUCCUUGUUGUAAACCGCUUGCGCCUGUGACGAAGCGUGAGUGACGGUAAUGGGUAAAGAAGCACCGGCUAACUACGUG
rnacentral:rRNA from 1 species